rnacentral:rRNA from 1 species
AAUAUUGGUCAAUGGGCGAAAGCCUGAUCCAGCCAUGCCGCGUGUGUGAAGAAGGUCUUCGGAUUGUAAAGCACUUUAAGUUGGGAGGAAGGGUUGUAGGUUAAUCCCCUGCAAUUUUGACGUUACCAACAGAAUAAGCACCGGCUAACUUCGUGCCAGCAGCCGCGGUAAUACGAAGGGUGCAAGCGUUAAUCGGAAUUACUGGGCGUAAAGCGCGCGUAGGUGGUUCGGUAAGUUGGAAGUGAAGGCCCCGGGCUCAACCUGGGAACUGCUUUCAAAACUGGCAAGCUAGAGUAGGGCAGAGGGUGGUGGAAUUUCCUGUGGAGCGGUGAAAUGCGUAGAUAUAGGAAGGAACACCAGUGGCGAAGGCGACUACCUGGACUGAUACUGACACUGAGGUGCGAAAGCGUGGGGAGCAAACAGG